rnacentral:rRNA from 1 species
GUGCCAGCAGCCGCGGUAAUACGUAGGGUGCGAGCGUUGUCCGGAAUUACUGGGCGUAAAGAGCUCGUAGGCGGUUUGUCACGUCGUCUGUGAAAUCCCUCGGCUUAACCGGGGGCGUGCGGGCGAUACGGGCAGACUUGAGUACUACAGGGGAGACUGGAAUUCCUGGUGUAGCGGUGAGAUGCGCAGAUAUCAGGAGGAACACCGGUGGCGAAGGCGGGUCUCUGGGUAGUAACUGACGCUGAGGAGCGAAAGCAUGGGUAGCGAACAGGAUUAGAUACCCUGGUAGUCC